GAGACUUUAGUUUAAUGGUAAAACAUGUGACUUUUAAUCAUUACCAUAUGGGUUCAAAUCCCAUAAGUCUUA
rfam:Aspergillus clavatus NRRL 1 1099423829726 genomic scaffold, whole genome shotgun sequence.